rnacentral:rRNA from 1 species
CCUACGGGAGGCAGCAGUGAGGAAUAUUGGUCAAUGGACGAGAGUCUGAACCAGCCAAGUAGCGUGAAGGAUGACUGCCCUAUGGGUUGUAAACUUCUUUUAUAAAGGAAUAAAACGAGGCACGUGUGCCUUUUUGCAUGUACUUUAUGAAUAAGGAUCGGCUAACUCCGUGCCAGCAGCCGCGGUAAUACGGAGGAUCCGAGCGUUGUCCGGAUUUAUUGGGUUUAAAGGGAGCGUAGAUGGGUUGUUAAGUCAGUGGUGAAAGUAUGCGGCUCAACCGUAAAAUUGCAAGUGAUACUGGCAGUCUUGAGUACAGUUGAGGUAGGCGGAAUUCGUGGUGUAGCGGUGAAAUGCUUAGAUAUCACGAAGAACCCCGAUUGCGAAGGCAGCUUACUAAACUGUGACUGACAUUGAGGCGCGAAAGUGUGGGGAUCAAACAGGAUUAGAUACCCUUGUAGUC